rnacentral:rRNA from 1 species
AGUGAACGCUGGCGGUAGGCCUAACACAUGCAAGUCGAACGGCAGCACAGUAAGAGCUUGCUCUUACGGGUGGCGAGUGGCGGACGGGUGAGGAAUACAUCGGAAUCUACUUUUUCGUGGGGGAUAACGUAGGGAAACUUACGCUAAUACCGCAUACGACCUACGGGUGAAAGCAGGGGAUCUUCGGACCUUGCGCGAUUGAAUGAGCCGAUGUCGGAUUAGCUAGUUGGCGGGGUAAAGGCCCACCAAGGCGACGAUCCGUAGCUGGUCUGAGAGGAUGAUCAGCCACACUGGGACUGAGACACGGUCCAGACUCCUACGGGAGGCAGCAGUGGGGAAUAUUGGACAAUGGGCGCAAGCCUGAACCAGCCAUACCGCGUGGGUGAAGAAGGCCUUCGGGUUGUAAAGCCCUUUUGUUGGGAAAGAAAAGCAGCAGGUUAAUACCCCGCUGUUCUGACGGUACCCAAAGAAUAAGCACCGGCUAACUUCGUGC